rnacentral:lncRNA from 1 species
AAAAUUGAUCGUUAGUUUUACUCCCCACAAUUGUUAAACUAAACGUUAAAAAGGAAAAGGUGGAAAAGGUGGAAAAGGUUCAAGUAUGGGAUGAAAAACGUUAAGAAAUGCAAACCUUAGGGAUGAAAAGCGUUAAGAAGUGGAAACUUCAGGGCUAGAUUUAUUAUAAAUUAGAUAUCUGAACUAAACCUCAGGACGAAAACAGAAAUUUACUCUAAAAACAGAGAAAAAGAACUUGUUACAGAAUCAAACUAUGUACAAGUGUUUUAUAUUUAAAUUUGUAAAUAUAUAAAAGAAAAUCAUAAAAUAAUUGUUUCACGGAUAUAUAACUAAAAUCACUAAAAUUUUAAAGAAACUGUAACUCUAUAGAUAUAAACAUGUGAACAAAUUUUACGUAUGUAGUUUACUUUUCUAUCCCGUUGUAUCACAUAUAAAAGCACAGAAUUUGACAAUUUUUAUUAAUUUAUUUUAGAUUUAUACUUUUCUCAUAUAUCUACAUUUAGUAUUUAUCUUUUGGUAUAUCAUUAUGUUAUUUCCUUGUAUCCAUUUUUUCGUGUAUGUGUGUUGUUUUUUAAAGACUGGAUGUGUGAUUUUUUGCUAUUUGUAGGAUUUACAGGGUAUAGCUGUUGUUGGUGUGUGGUUUUAAAGACCGAGUGUAUUGUCUAUUUUAAAAUAUAUAUAAAAAGUUAUGUAAAAUAUUUGUCUAACAUAUUUUUAACAUAAUAAUAAUAAUUAUUAAACAUAGAUUUCUUUUACUUUCAUAGGUUUUCUCGAGCAUUAAUCUAUAGUACAAAAUGUCAAUAUUGAAGAUAUAAAUAGAGGGGAUGAUAAGGUGGUUGGGUGUUAAACUGAUGGGAAGGGGAAACUGAUGAAACCCGUGAGUAGUGGGCCCACAAAGUAUAGUAUAGAAUAGGUGUGUGGUGAAUAUUUAUUGUCCUUUUAUUGUUCAAGGUGGGAACUUGGGUUUAUUAUUUCGGACAAAAUAAUAACUCAACUUAAUUGUUUUGAGAUACUAAUUAUUGUUUAUGAUAAGGGGUCUUUAAAAACCGAUUAAACAAAAUCGAAAAUUCAAAAUCAAAGUAAGUUUGAUUUUGGCUUGUUUGGUCGGUUUGAAACUUCGAAUCGGUCGUGGAAAUCAAAUAGGACAUUUAUCAUGUAUUAUCUCAGUUGCUUUAAUAGGAGUAAUUUACAAAAGAAUUGGUUUAAAUAAACGUUAAACGAUAAAACAGUUCAUAUCAGUUAGUUUAAAUUGUCAUUUUCUUAAACUAUAAUUAGUUGUUUCACAGAUAAUUCUCACUUACUAGUUACUAAUGGGGUGGUGCUCGGUAAAGACAAAGUCUUUAAAGACUUUGCAAGAUAGAGGUCUCAGAUUCAUGUUUCACAAACAACAUAAAUAAAAAAAUUUGC